rnacentral:rRNA from 1 species
UACGAAGGGGGCUAGCGUUGCUCGGAAUCACUGGGCGUAAAGCGCACGUAGGCGGAUUGUUAAGUCAGGGGGGAAAUCCUGGAGCUCAACUUCAGAACUGCCUUUGAUACUGGCGAUCUCGAGUCCGGGAGAGGUGAGUGGAACUGCGAGUGUAGAGGUGAAAUUCGUAGAUAUUCGCAAGAACACCAGUGGCGAAGGCGGCUCACUGGCCCGGUACUGACGCUGAGGUGCGAAAGCGUGGGGAGCAAACAGG